UACAUUGGGUGCAAACGUUGCUCGGAAUCAUUGGGCGUAAAGCGCGCGUAGGCGGUUACUUAAGUCGAAUGUGAAAGCCCUCGGCUUAACCGAGGAAGUGCAUCCGAAACUGAGUAGCUAGAGUACGAAAGAGGGUCGCGGAAUUCCCGGUGUAGAGGUGAAAUUCGUAGAUAUCGGGAGGAACACCGGUGGCGAAGGCGGUUCUCUGGGCCUGACCUGACGCUGAGGAGCGAAAGCGUGGGGAGCGAACAGG
rnacentral:rRNA from 1 species